rnacentral:rRNA from 1 species
AGCAUUAUACAGCGAAACUGCGAAUGGCUCAUUAUAUAAGUUAUCGUUUAUUUGAUAGUACCUUACUACUUGGAUAACCGUGGUAAUUCUAGAGCUAAUACAUGCUGAAAAUCCCGACUUCGGAAGGGAUGUAUUUAUUAGAUUCAAAACCAAUGCCCUCUGGGCUCACUGGUGAUUCAUGAUAACUCUUCGAAUCGCAUGGCCUUGCGCCGGCGAUGGUUCAUUCAAAUUUCUUCCCUAUCAACUUUCGAUGUUUGGGUAGUGGCCAAACAUGGUUGCAACGGGUAACGGAGGGUUAGGGCUCGACCCCGGAGAAGGAGCCUGAGAAACGGCUACUACAUCCAAGGAAGGCAGCAGGCGCGCAAAUUACCCAAUCCCGACACGGGGAGGUAGUGACAAUAAAUACUGAUACAGGGCUCUUUUGGGUCUUGUAAUUGGAAUGAGUACAAUUUAAAUCCCUUAACGAGGAACAAUUGGAGGGCAAGUCUGGUGCCAGCAGCCGCGGUAAUUCCAGCUCCAAUAGCGUAUAUUAAAGUUGUUGUGGUUAAAAAGCUCGUAGUUGAACCUUGGGCCUGGCUGGCCGGUCCGCCUCACCGCGUGUACUGGUCCGGCCGGGCCUUUCCCUCUGUGGAACCCCAUGCCCUUCACUGGGUGUGGCGGGGAAACAGGACUUUUACUUUGAAAAAAUUAGAGUGCUCCAGGCAGGCCUAUGCUCGAAUACAUUAGCAUGGAAUAAUGAAAUAGGACGCGCGGUUCUAUUUUGUUGGUUUCUAGGACCGCCGUAAUGAUUAAUAGGGACAGUCGGGGGCAUCAGUAUUCAAUUGUCAGAGGUGAAAUUCUUGGAUUUAUUGAAGACUAACUACUGCGAAAGCAUUUGCCAAGGAUGUUUUCAUUAAUCAGGAACGAAAGUUAGGGGAUCGAAGACGAUCAGAUACCGUCGUAGUCUUAACCAUAAACUAUGCCGACUAGGGAUCGGAACGAUGUUAUUUUUUGACUCGUUCGGCACCUUACGAGAAAUCAAAGUG